CCUACGGGGUGCAGCAGUGGGGAAUAUUGCACAAUGGGGGAAACCCUGAUGCAGCGACGCCGCGUGAGUGAAGAAGUAUUUCGGUACGUAAAGCUCUAUCAGCAGGGAAGAAAAUGACGGUACCUGACUAAGAAGCCCCGGCUAACUACGUGCCAGCAGCCGCGGUAAUACGUAGGGGGCAAGCGUUAUCCGGAUUUACUGGGUGUAAAGGGAGCGUAGACGGCAGCGCAAGUCUGGAGUGAAAUCCCAUGGCUUAACCAUGGAACUGCUUUGGAAACUGUGUAGCUAGAGUGCAGGAGAGGUAAGCGGAAUUCCUAGUGUAGCGGUGAAAUGCGUAGAUAUUAGGAGGAACACCAGUGGCGAAGGCGGCUUACUGGACUGUAACUGACGUUGAGGCUCGAAAGCGUGGGGAGCAAACAGGAUUAGAUACCCCUGUAGUC
rnacentral:rRNA from 1 species